GAAAUGCGAUAAGUAGUGUGAAUUGCAGAAUUCAGUGAAUCAUCGAAUCUUUGUACUCACAUUGCGCCCCUUGGUAUUCCAUGGGGCAUGCCUGUUCGAGCGUCAUUUGUACCCUCAAGCUCUGCUUGGUGUUGGGUGUUUGUCCCCGUCUCCGCGCGUGGACUCGCCCCAAAGUGAUUGGCAGCCGGCGUACUGGUCCCGGAGCGCAGCACAUGUCGCGCAAACGAGUGCCUUGGUACGGCGGCGUCCAUAAGCCCCUCUCUCACGCUCUUGACCUCGGAUCAGGUAGGGAUACCCGCUGAACUUAAGC
rnacentral:misc_RNA from 1 species